rnacentral:rRNA from 1 species
UACGGAGGGUGCAAGCGUUAUCCGGAAUCACUGGGUUUAAAGGGUGCGUAGGCGGCUUGAUAAGUCAGGGGUGAAAGCCUACGGCUUAACCAUAGAAUUGCCUUUGAUACUGUAAAUCUUGAAAGGGGUUGAGGUUAGCAGAAUGUGGCAUGUAGCGGUGAAAUGCAUAGAUAUGCCAUAGAACACCGAUUGCGAAGGCAGCUGGCUGGGCCUACUUUGACGCUGAGGCACGAAUGCGUGGGGAGCGAACAGG